UACGUAGGAUCCAAGCGCUAUCCGGAAUUACUGGGCGUAAAGCGUGCGCAGACGGUUUGGUAGGUCUUAUGCGAAAUCCGGUGGCUCAACCACCUGGACUGUAUGAGAAACCCCCUGACUUGAGGUAGGUAGAGGUACAUGGAAUUUCUGGUGUAGGAGUGACAUCCGUAGAUAUCAGAAGGAACACCAAUGGCGAAGGCAGUGUACUGGGCCUUACCUGACGUUCAUGCACGAAAGCGUGGGUAGCAAACAGG
rnacentral:rRNA from 1 species